UUUCCAGAGAUGGAUUGGUGCCUUCGGGAACUCUGAGACAGGUGCUGCAUGGCUGUCGUCAGCUUCGUGUUUGUGAAAUGUUGGGUUAAGUCCCGCAACGAGCGCAACCCUUAUCCUUUGUUGCCAGCGGUUAGGCCGGGAACUCAAAGGAGACUGCCAGUGAUAAACUGGAGGAAGGUGGGGAUGACGUCAAGUCAUCAUGGCCCUUACGAGUAGGGCUACACACGUGCUACAAUGGCGCAUACAAAGAGAAGCGACCUCGCGAGAGCAAGCGGACCUCAUAAAGUGCGUCGUAGUCCGGAUUGGAGUCUGCAACUCGACUCCAUGAAGUCGGAAUCGCUAGUAAUCGUGGAUCAGAAUGCCACGGUGAAUACGUUCCCGGGCCUUGUACACACCGCCCGUCACACCAUGGGAGUGGGUUGCAAAAGAAGUAGGUAGCUUAACCUUCGGGAGGGCGCUUACCACUUUGUGAUUCAUGACUGGGGUGAAGUCGUAACAAGGUAAGCGUAGAUGA
rnacentral:rRNA from 1 species